rnacentral:lncRNA from 1 species
CACUCUGGACCAACAUCUGGAUCUGCCUUCAGAUGAAACCAUGGCCUUCAGAAUGAAUCUCUCUGAAGAACAUGACACACAGAUAAAGACAGUCAAGAGUCUGAUUCAGCGUUUUGAAUCAUUCUUGCCUGAACACAUCGAUGUGUCUGUGAGGAAAAAACAACGGAGGGAUCUUUCAGAUCUCUGCAGAGAGGAAGACUCUUCUGUUGAGCGCAGUCUGUGUGAGAAUGAAUCACCUGAACCCAGCUGUGUGUCCAUGAAGAGUGACCGGUCAAUGCAUCCUCCACUUAAAUUCAGCUCGGGAGACUCAUCUGCUGAUCUGAGGUGUUGUUCAGUUUACAUUAUAAUAAAUAUACAGUAUAUAUGAUAUUCAUUCAUUUACUGAUCUGUAUUAAAUACAUUAAUACAUAUUUAUACAAAUAUUCAAUAUUUGUUUAACUACAGUCAAAAGCAUGAAGGAGCAGAAUCACAUACAGCAAAGAAUAACUUAGACUCCAUUUUCAAGGUCGGUUUUGUGUGUGUGUGUGUGUGUGUGUGUGUGUGUGAAGUUAUUAACA